rnacentral:rRNA from 1 species
AACUCGCCUGCAUGAAGUUGGAAUUGCUAGUAAUCGCGAAUCAGAAUGUCGCGGUGAAUACGUUCCCGGGCCUUGUACACACCGCCCGUCACACCAUGAGAGUCGAUAACACCCGAAGCCUGUGAGCUAACCGUAAGGAGGCAGCAGUCGAAGGUGGGGUUGAUGAUUGGGGUGAAGUCGUAACAAGGUACC